CGGUUGUUUGCAAUGAACAUUCACUUUUCAAUGACUAUCUUUUCUUUAAACUUCCUGCACAUGGGGUUUAUUCCAUCAAGGUGAAGAUGGCAGGGUGCCCUGAGCAGUCUGAAGCCUUCCUUAGGGCUUGGGCCCCUCCAGCCAUGGUCAAGGAGAUGGACUGCCUCUUGGUUUCCCAAAUCAAGGAAAGAGGAUUGCUUAAACUGGCAAGUUACUUUCAAGUAUACCUUAAACAAAUGUGGAGAGCCAUUUGGUCACGUAUGUGGAUGCACCCAGUGGGAUACACGGAAACAACAGACUGGGUGUACUUGGAGCAGCUGGGCGGAUCUUAAGGAUGCAGAGCUGAGCACAAAGUAAUAAGCAAAAAGAGAUAUAGGACGUGAUAGAUAUGGUCACAAUGUUGGGGGGGGGCAAAGAGGAUGGAGAAGAGCAAUAGUUAAGAUUAGAUAAGUCAUGUGGCUUGAUUUUACAAUGGGAACCCCAAGGCAACCAAGAAUUGUCAGCCUCUUAGUAAAGGACAGUAUAUUAAGAUUGUAUAUAACAUAUAUACUACAUGAUGACAUAAUGCCAUUUGCAGCAACAUGGAUGGAACUAGAGAAUCUCAUACUGAGUGAAAUGAGCCAGAAAGACAAAGACAAAUACCAUAUGAUAUCACUUAUAACUGGAAUCUAAUAUCCAGCACAAAUGAACAUCUCCUCAGAAAAGAAAAUCAUGGACUUGGAGAAGAGACUUGUGGCUGCCUGAUGGGAGGGGGAGGGAGUGGGAGGGAUCGGGAGCUUGGGCUUAUCAGAGACAACCUAGAAUAGAUUUACAAGGAGAUCCUGCUGAAUAGCAUUGAGAACUAUGUCUAGAUACUCAUGUUGCAACAGAACAAAGGGUGGGGGAAAAAUGUAAUUGUAAUGUAUACAUGUAAGGAUAACCUGACCCCCUUGCUGUACAGUGGGAAAAUAAAUUAAAAAAAAUAAAAAAAAAUUAAAAAAUUUAUCUAUCUUUCUAUCUAUCUAUCUAUCUAUCUAUCUAUCUAUCUAUCUAUCUAUCUAUGUAUCUACCUACCUACCUACCUACCUACCUAUCCAUCCAUCUAUCC
rnacentral:lncRNA from 9 species